CUAUCCAGACUUUGCCUGACACUGCAGGGUCCAGGAGAAUUAAAGAAAUACGGAAUGACAUGAAGAAGAUUAGUUAAGGAUUAUAGGCUUUGAGGACAAACACCUCAGUGAGGUGAAGCACAGACAAGCUCCUGAGCUGUAGUUUGGAGGAGCCGUGUGUUGGAAGAAGAUGGCGGACCCAGGAAUGAUGAGUCUUUUUGGCGAGGAUGGGAAUAUUUUCAGCGAAGGCCUUGAAGGCCUUGGAGAAUGUGGUUACCCUGAAAAUCCGGUGAACCCCAUGGGUCAGCAAAUGCCGAUAGACCAAGGCUUUGCCUCCUUGCAGCCAUCCCUUCAUCAUCCCUCCACUAAUCAAAAUCAAACAAAGCUGACCCAUUUCGACCACUAUAAUCAGUACGAACAACAAAAGAUGCAUCUGAUGGAUCAGCCAAACAGGAUGAUGAGCAGCGCCCCUGGGAACGGGCUCGCGUCUCCUCACUCGCAGUAUCACGCCCCUCCCGUCCCUCAGGUCCCCCACGGUGGCAGUGGUGGCAGUCAGAUGGGCGUCUACCCUGGCCUGCAGAACGAAAGGCAUGGGCAGUCUUUCGUGGACAGUGGCUCCAUGUGGGGCCCCCGGGCUGUGCAGGUGCCGGACCAGAUACGGGCCCCCUACCAGCCGCAGCCCCAGCCCCAGCCACCCCAGCCCGCUCCAUCGGGGCCCCCCACGCAGGGCCACCCUCAGCACAUGCAGCAGAUGGGCAGCUACAUGGCACGUGGGGAUUUCUCCAUGCAGCAGCAUGGUCAGCCACAGCAGAGGAUGAGCCAGUUUUCCCAAGGCCAAGAGGGCCUCAAUCAGGCCAGUCCCUUCAUUGCCACGUCGGGCCCCGGCCACUUGUCCCACGUGCCCCCGCAGAGUCCCAGCAUGGCGCCUUCCUUGCGUCAUCCGGUGCAGCAGUUCCACCACCACCCCCCUACUGCUCUCCACGGAGAAUCCGUUGCCCACAGCCCCAGAUUCUCCCCUAAUCCUCCUCAGCAAGGGGCUGUGAGGCCACAGACCCUUACCUUUAGUUCUCGGAGCCAGACCGUCCCCUCACCUACUAUAAACAACUCAGGGCAGUAUUCUCGAUAUCCUUACAGUAACCUAAAUCAGGGAUUAGUUAACAAUACAGGGAUGAAUCAAAAUUUAGGCCUUACAAAUAAUACUCCAAUGAAUCAGUCCGUACCAAGAUACCCCAAUGCUGUAGGAUUCCCAUCGAACAGUGGUCAAGGACUAAUGCACCAGCAGCCCAUCCACCCCAGUGGCUCACUUAACCAAAUGAACACACAAACUAUGCAUCCUUCACAGCCUCAGGGAACUUACGCCUCUCCACCUCCCAUGUCACCCAUGAAAGCGAUGAGUAAUCCGGCAGGCACCCCUCCGCCGCAGGUCAGGCCCGGAAGUGCUGGGAUGCCAAUGGAAGUUGGCAGUUAUCCAAAUAUGCCCCACCCUCAGCCAUCUCACCAGCCCCCCGGUGCCAUGGGAAUCGGACAGAGGAACAUGGGCCCCCGAAACAUGCAGCCGUCUCGUCCGUUCAUGGGCAUGUCCUCGGCACCGAGGGAGUUGGCCGGGCACAUGAGACCAAAUGGUUGUCCUGGUGUUGGCCUUGCAGAUCCCCAAGCCAUCCAGGAACGACUGCUGCCUGGCCAACAGCAUCCUGGUCAGCAGCCGUCUUUCCAGCAGUUGCCAACCUGCCCUCCGAUGCAGCCCCACCCGGGCUUGCACCACCAGUCGUCACCCCCACACCCGCAUCACCAGCCUUGGGCACAGCUCCAUCCAUCACCCCAGAACACCCCGCAGAAAGUGCCUGUGCCUCAG